GAGAUACUGAAUAUUGAUUGGUUUGAUACCUGGACUACUGUGUUGACUGAGAGGUUAAAGGUCAACUUGUUUGGACACCCCUGAGGUAAGAGGAGAUGAAACAUGGAGAUGAAACAUGGUUUAGGAGAUGAAACAUGGUUUAGGAGGUGAAACAUGGUUUAGGAGGUGAAACAUGGAGAUGGAACUUGGAGAUGAAACAUGGUUUAGGAGGUGAAACAUGGUUUAGGAGGCGAAACAUGGAGAUGAAACAUGGAGGUGAAACCUGGCUUAGGAGGUGAAAAAUGGAGAUGAAACAUGGUUUAAGAGGUGAAACAUGGAGAUGAAACCUGGAGAUGAAACAUGGUUUCGAAGGUGAAACAUGGAGAUUGAACUUGGAGAUGGUUUAGGAGGUGAAACAUUGUUUAGGAGGUGAAACAUGGAGAUGAAACCUGGUUUAGGAGGUGAAACAUGUAGAUGAAACCUGGCUUAGGAGGUGAAACAUGGAGAUGAAACCUGGAGAUGAAACAUGGUUUCGAAGGUGAAACAUGGAGAUUGAACUUGGAGAUGGUUUAGGAGGUGAAACAUUGUUUAGGAGGUGAAACAUGGAGAUGAAACCUGGUUUAGGAGGUGAAACAUGUAGAUGAAACCUGGCUUAGGAGGUGAAACAUGGAGAUGAAACCUGGAGAUGAAACAUGGUUUCGAAGGUGAAACAUGGAGAUUGAACUUGGAGAUGGUUUAGGAGGUGAAACAUUGUUUAGGAGGUGAAACAUGGAGAUGAAACCUGG